CGUCUGCAGCAGGUUGUGCUCCGGCGGCUUGAAGUCGCCGAACCGCUCGGUGAACAGGGUGAAGGCGCGUUCGAUGGGCGCCUGGACGAC
rnacentral:tRNA from 1 species